rnacentral:rRNA from 1 species
CCUACGGGAGGCAGCAGUGGGGAAUAUUGGACAAUGGGCGCAAGCCUGAUCCAGCCAUGCCGCGUGUGUGAAGAAGGCCUUCGGGUUGUAAAGCACUUUCAGUAGGGAGGAAGCGUUGAGUGUUAAUAGUACUCAGCGUGACGUACCUACAGAGAGCCCAAUU